UGGGGAAUAUUGGGCAAUGGGGGCAACCCUGACCCAGCGACGCCGCGUGGGGGAAGACGGCCUUCGGGUUGUAAACCUCUUUUGUACGGGAAGAAGGAAGUGACGGUACUGUACGAAUAAGUCCCGGCUAACUACGUGCCAGCAGCCGCGGUAAUACGUAGGGGACGAGCGUUGUCCGGAAUUACUGGGCGUAAAGGGCGCGCAGGCUGUGCUGCAAGUCAGCUGUUAAAUGUCUGGGCUUAACCCGGGCAUGCGGUUGAGACUGCGGUGCUGGAGUGCUGUAGAGGCAAGUGGAAUGCCCAGUGUAGCGGUGAAAUGCGUAGAUAUUGGGAAGAUCGCCGGUGGCGAAGGCGACUUGCUGGGCAGCAACUGACGCUGAGGCGCGAAAGCCAGGGGAGCAAACG
rnacentral:rRNA from 1 species